UGUGUGAAUAUAUAGCCCAGUACUUGGAAUGAGUGAAAUGUCAGAUUCAUUGAGCUGGCCAUGCACUGUGAAGGUAGGUAGCCGGAUGUUGGUGGGUGCACAGUGAAGGUAGAUUGCAUGAUGUUGGUGGGUGCACAGUGAAGGUAGGUAGCCAGAUGUUGGUGGGUGCACAGUGAAGGUAGAGAGCAGGAUGUUGGUGGGUGCACAGUGAAGGUAGAUAGCCGGAUGUUGGUGGGUGCACAGUGAAGGUAGAGAGCAGGAUGUUGGUGGGUGCACAGUGAAGGUAGAUAGCCGGAUGUUGGUGGGUGCACAGUGAAGGUAGAGAGCAGGAUGUUGGUGGGUGCACAGUGAAGGUAGAUAGCCGGAUGUUGGUGGGUGCACAGUGAAGGUAGGUAGCCGAAUGUUGGUGAGUUCACAGUGAAGGUAGAUAGCUGGAUGUUGGUGGGUGCACAGUGAAGGUAGGUAGCCAGAUGUUGGUGGGUGCACAGUGAAAGUAGAUAGCUGGAUGUUGGUGGGUGCACUGUGAAGGCAGAUAGCCGGAUGUUGGUGGGUGCACUGUGAAGGUAGAUAGCUGGAUGUUGGUGGGUGCACAGUGAAGGUAGAUAGCCGGAUGUUGGUGGGUGCACUGUGAAGGUAGAUAGCUGGAUGUUGGUGGGUGCACAGUGAAGGUAGAUAGCCGGAUGUUGGUGGGUGCACUGUGAAGGUAGAUAGCUGGAUGUUGGUGGCUGCAAAUGGAAGGUAGGUAGCCUGGAUGUUGGUGGUUGCACAGUGAUGUAG